rnacentral:rRNA from 1 species
UACGUAGGGUGCAAGCGUUAAUCGGAAUUACUGGGCGUAAAGCGUGCGCAGGCGGUUUUGUGAGUCUGUCGUGAAAUCCCCCGGGCUCAACCUGGGAAUUGCGAUGGGAGACUGCAAGGCUAGAAUCUGGCAGAGGGGGGUAGAAUUCCACGUGUAGCAGUGAAAUGCGUAGAGAUGUGGAGGAACACCGAUGGCGAAGGCAGCCCCCUGGGUCAAGAUUGACGCUCAUGCACGAAAGCGUGGGGGAGCAAACGAGGAUACGAA